ensembl:lncRNA
AUGCCUCUGUAUGUGUUUCCCGCUGUCCUCAGAAGGAUGGGAUAGCUGAAGCUGCACAGAGUGCUGGGCCCAAACACGUUCCAAAAUAGGUGAUGGAGCAGAGCAUUGCUAUCUGGAUGAGAGGGAACCUGAGCUUGCCCUCUGGGGAUGUUGUGUGGGGCACCAUAAAGCUGUUGCUGAAGACACACUUGCAAGCAGGUGACCUGGAUGUGUUGCAGUUCGACCUGUGGAGCAGAGUCAUCAGGCAGAGUGUCUCGGUGUGAUGGGUUUUCCUGUGCCCCACUACCUCUCCAGCAGAAGUCCAGGCUGCAGAGGGCACACCGACCAUGUGACAUCCCAGAUCUUCUGGCUCCAGUAGACCUGUACGAUGCCACCAGGCCAUAACAAAGCUUACCAAGAGUGUAGAUGAGCAAGAACAGCUGCAGCAGGAUCGUGUAGGGUGGUCUGGUGCAGCUGUGAGCCCAUAUGGUGGAAGAACUCAGUGGGGCAUGAGGAGUUCCUGGCACUUCUCACAUCAGAUAUGAGAGUUUGGUUACCAAUUUCCUGGAAGAUUCCAUAAUCACCUGUCAAGUGGAGACACCCAGGCAUCCUACUCCACUUCCAAGCAGAAAAAGUGCCAUGACUGGUCUGCUGGCUCACUUUUGAGCCCCUGUGUUCUCAAGUGUAGGAAUUCCACUCACAUAGCUGGGUCAGUGGGUGAUGGAGGACACACCUGCAAACUCGUCAAUGCCACUAGUGUAGUGUCCAUAGCCUUUGAUAGGACUUAUGCUCACAGUAUUCUUUGUUUUUUAGAAUGUUGUUGUUGUUGUUGACCCUAACUUUGGUGUUUGGAGAUACCCUGUCACAGACUAGUAACUCUAAAUAAAAUUGGAUAAAUUGAUCUAAUGAGAAAGUGGACAGACUGGGCCAUAAUAAUAGGGCAGAAAAUGCAAGAAAUCUUAAUAUUUUUAGUACAUUUCAACAGACAUAUGCUGGUCCUGUAGAUACUUUUUUAUCAGGUUGCCUUAAGAUCACAGAAUAUUUCGGUUCUAUUUUUCUCUGACAUCUCAUUCAGAGGGAUAAAACCCUAAGAGUGCUCCUUGGUGCAUGUAAUUUUUCUGAACUUCAGGCCUCGCUCACUAAGGAUGACCAGUUUCUCAGUCUUGUCUGGCAAGACUGUGUCUGAUCUCAUCUGGUCCUAGUAAACAAGGGUAGCCUGUAUGAAAAUAUGUAUGGGACAAUUCAACUGCUGGCUUUGAGUGCUGGCUGCAGCAAGAACAGCUGCCUCAUUUUGAAAUGUCCUCUCUAUUUGCUUACUGGUGUCCCAUUGUGGUAGGUAAUCCACAGAGUUAAAUAUUAGUUGGCUUUCAGGUCUGCUCCUUGCCAGUGACUCUUCUAUAUAAGGUUAAUACAGUUGUCUUGCACUUGUCAAACCGGAAAACAAAUGUGUUAACAAUUAAAGCUUAUUUUGCACUGUACAGUAUGUGACUGUUCUCUGUACUCAGUGUCCUUUGGGAUGACUGCCUCAGCCUCCUGUGGAGUUUAAUUGCCACUUGUCCUAGGGUCGGGGGGCAGUCUUGGGAUGAACUCCUAAUUUCGUACAGAGGGAAGUGGGGAAUUUGGCAUGGUCUUAGGGGACCUGACCCUGCAGCAAAACUGUUUUACUGAGGAAAGAACAAAUAUUGGCAAGUGCAUGACUAGUAUUUUCUGGGAACCUGUGGACUUGAUAGGCACCUGAGGCAUUUGCUGCUCUUCCUUAUGUUGACUGCUGAGUAGCCCUGUAUUUUCCCAUGACCCCUGUGAUGGAUCAAGCUUCCCUAAAUUGUGUCUAGAGAGCUCAAACAAGAAUUUUCCGACAUUAAAAAUGUGUUUGGGGUGAGUUCAGGGAAGUUUGUCUAACUCUUAACAAAACUUCUGUCCAUUUUUAUGGCAGAGGAAGAAGGAUCUGUUGUGACCAAGCCUUCUCUAGAGUCAGUGAUAGUCUGUGUCUGUUGUAUCAGAAAGAAAAAUGUGGGAAAAAAAAGCCAAAAACAGACAGGGAAGAAAUUUUAAAAAAACUGAACAGGAAUUUGAAAAUAAUGAAAAAAGAGGGGACCCUGAAUUUGCAAAAUCAAGCUGAUGCAACAUUGCUGGCAUAGGAGGAUAUUGGUAGUGCCUUUGCAUAUCGCCCUUGCUUGCAGGUGCUGUGUUACUAUGGCUGUGUUCAGGGCUAUUUCUGGGCAAGGGCUGCAGUGUCUCAUCCUCAGACAGCCCCAGCAGGAUUUUUAAGGGGUCCCCAUGGUCUUUGCACAUACUUGCAUCAGUACUAUCUCACUGGCAAUGCCACGAGCCAAAGCUAGUGACUGUUUGAAACUCCUGGGCACUGUGGUCAUUGGAAGGGACCAAACAUGCUGCUUAUGGCACUAGAGAAUGGAUGGAUAGCUUUGCCAGUGGGAGUUUCUGUUCUUUGGCAGGAGCAGAAUAGAAGCAUAUCCCAAGAGGUACAUGCUGGAGCUCUGAUUUUGUGUGAGGGGUACCUGGUUUUACCUGUGGACAUUGUACAUCACCAUGGAGAUUCUGAAGCCUGAGCAUGUGGUGGGUUUAUAUUCCUCGACAUCAUAAUGACCAUGUAUUUCUUCCUGUAGUGUUGAAGGGGAAAAUAUAUCACAUUCGAACCCUACAUCUCUUGGCUUUGCACCUCUUCAGUGGAGAAUUACAAUCAGUACAGCAAUGUCCUUGCCAGCCUGACAGAUCUGCUGACAGUGUAAGAGUUAAGAAGCCCUCAAAAAAACCCCAGUGCCUGCUACUGCAGCGCUGAUGAUUGCACUUUUCCAUUUGCCUGGCCCUCCAUGGAGCCUUUAGCUCCCUCCUGCUUUUCCUGAACCUUGCAAGUGUUCACCUGUCAUGGUAGGGCUGUGCAGCAAGAUCAGCGCCGAGGCAGGAGGCCACUGACAAACUGAGCCCUUCUGGGUGGAUGGAUGAUUGAUAACCUGUGAAACAGGCAGGAGCUAAGAGGGCCGGGAGGAGCAUGCUGGAGUAUCUGGAGAUUUGGAAAGUUUCUUCUCUCUGAUGGAGUACACAAGGUCAGUAAUUUGGACACUGGUGGGCAGUGGUAACUCACAGCUCUCCCCUGAGGUCCUCAGGAGGUUGCACCUACCAGUGUAGUGCAGGUCCAGGCAGUUCACUCCUGGUGCUUUAUUGGACUCUGCAGUAUUUCAGGUUUAGUAAGGGUGGUAGAGAAUUAGGUAGGUAGUAGGUUUGCCUUUUCUGUGUCUGAUAUCUUAAGGCAAAGUGAGAGUUUACAGUCACAAGGCUUUAGGUUUUGAGAAUAAGAGGUGCACAGGGCUUAAAGGGAGCCUUAGAGCUUCAUCCGUGAUGGAGGGAGGUGUCAGCUUAAUGUUCUCAAGGUGUUCAAUUAGACCCAGCUCUUCCAGUUUCUGGUUGAAUGGCUUAAGUAUUACUUUAUGUUAAAUAUUUAAUACUUAUAAGUUAAAGAUGGGUAAUGGCCAAGUCUUUCCAUCCUUUAAAAGAACAUGACUCUCUCUUUUCAACUGGACUGAAGACGGUUAUUUGGUGGCAUAGCAGGUGACAUUAGAGCAACCUAACAAAUUAGACACCUAUGGGGAUGUCAGCAGUUAUUGCAGAGUACAUAUUAGUGCAGAGACUUGUAGAUGCUUUUUGGGUUUCCCUGUGGUAAGGUGCCUGUGAAAUGUCAGGAAGCCAUGCAGUCAAAUUGGAUUUCCAUGGGUUGCUCAUAUGGAUUUAUUAAACUGCCUAUUUGUAGCAAGCGGGUUUUGUACGUGAUAGACUGUUAAUAGCUGUUGAGUGUUUAUAUAGAGUCUUCCUUAUGAAUGUCUUCUUAAGUGUAAGUGCCCAAAUACUUGGGAUUUAUCAAUUAUUAUUAUGUACUUACAGAAAACAUUACUAGUGGGGCAACUCUAAUGUCUUUUAAUGUGGCUAUAGUAUGAGAUAAAUAAAUUUUUUUUCGAUGAAAAGGGAAAAAAAUCUGGUCAAUUUGAAUAAGAUAAUUACCAUGAGAGCAGAAUAAAAAGUCUUGGGCCUAAAUACAGGGACAGCAAUAUUUUAUAGUGCUAAUGACUGUUCUUUAUGGCUAAUUUUUAAAAUCAAAAUUUAGACUCAAUCCUGGACACUGGUACAUGCAAAACAAAAACUAACUUUUAAAUUAAAAUUCCUGCAAUCCCAUUAUGCUAAGUAAUACAGUAGUGUGGAUUUACUGUAUUUCUCUUGUAAGUACCCUUUCAAAAGUACCUAAAUAAAGUUCAGAUAAUUUCCUACAAUAUUUCAGAUAAUUUUCUGGGUAAAUGUUCUGUGUCUGGAAAUUUCCAUACAAGGUAGUUUAGCUGCAACUAUGUGGAAUUAGGUAGCAAGACGUUCAGAUGUGUGGUUUGUAGAAGUUUGUGAACUCUAAUACUAUUGUAAUCAGAAUCUAUAAAUAAGAACUCUUCAAAGUGAGAAAUUUUUCCCUUCUUUAAGAUGCCCCAACUAAACCCACCCGAGGCAGCCUCACGGCACAGCAUGAAAUGGGAUCUGCCUCAGGUAUUGAGUUAUAUUUGCUUUUAAAACCCAUCCAUAAAGAGCAUUACAGAAGACCGUUUGUGCUAAAAAGGAAAAGCUGUCCAAAGUUAAGGCUCUGUGGGAGAUCUUUCCUAGGGCGCACUCAGACACAAAACUUCCAUCUCGCUGCUCAGUGACCUGAUGCUAUCAGGUGCUGAGUGCCUUCAGGUUCCUUUGCUGUCAGGGGGGAAAAACCUGCACACCUCAAGAUCAGGCCCUUGGCCCUCAGUAUUUGCACACUCAUGCUGGCACUGUGUGCAGUGGGAUGGAUGUUUAAUGCUGGCACCAAAGACUGAUGCUGCAGCUGUCCUGGAAAUACUCGUGGUAGAAGCUGAAGGAGCAUUUGAGUUGCUUACAGGGUAAGAAGAACUUUAAGGCUUCUCUGGUAUUUCUUUUCAGAUUUCGUGCUAAUAUUUAUGGUUUUCUGCUUCUUUCUGUGCUUAAAUUUUCUACCUGGCUUUUCUAGCUGAGUUGCUUGUUACAGCUAGUUAUCUCUUGGAGACUGCAGACACCUCCCUCCAUCUCUUCUUCUCUCAGGAAGAUUUCACAGCCUCCAGUAACCCCAGUGCUGUGACCCCAGGAUCCCUUCAGUGCCCAGAGCCUGCAGGUCUCAUGCUGGCUGCCCCAACCAUCAGGCUCUGCUGGGCUCUCCCUCCACAGCCUCCCCAGCUUGCCCAGGGUACCAGUGCCCAAAAACAAGGCUAGAGGUGUUGUCACUGUAUGUAGUCAAUGUUCUCUGCACUGAUGUGCUGGAGAUUUCUCUGCUAAUGCAUUUUCUUCUUCUGGAUGAUCAGUAAGUGUGGCAAUUCCUAUUAUUAAUUCAGUGACUUUAAACAAAUCCUAAGAAACAACUGAGGCUUUUCUCAAGGGAGAGUGUACUGAAAAAGAUAAAUGGCAUAGUUAUUUUCCCCUUUGGUAUUUUCUUUGCUGAGUAUACCUGUGCAUUUACAUAAUCAUAGAGCCAGCACAACAUGUAUUUUUGUUAAAUUUUGAGUUGCUCUUUUUUUUAACCCCAUCACAAAUUGUGUUACUGGAAACAAGACAUACAUCUGGUCUGUAACUAACAUGAUUGUAGUUUUAUGUUUUCAUGUGUCUUGAUCUCAAACAAGAAUGUUACUUGCAUUGAUGCAUGCAUUUCAUGGUCUUUCAGAAUUAAAUGGAAAACACAGCCUUUCAGGAAGCCUUAAUACCUUUCCAUAUGGAGGCAGUGCCUUGCUGUGCACAUGGUCUUUGAUUUGUUUUCAGUUCUGAAAUUUCUUACCUUAUGGUCUAUGUUCCUUUAUUAUUUUUAUUUUUUAAUAAAGAAGUGAAAUU